UCAGCCUCCGUGGCCACGCGCGGCGGCGGCGGCGGCGGCAGGUGCGAUAUGGCCAGGUGCGGCAGGGCCAGAUGAGCGUCGCAGGAAGGUGGUAUGUGACGGGCCAUCUGUUAACGGGGAGAAAGCUGACGGGUGGCACCUUGUCCCAGAUCGGCCAGUCGCCUGGCGCCUCCCCCGGCACCGCUCAUACUAGUGCCACUCCGAGCUACUGCGCGGCCCAGUCACUCAGUACCCGGCCGAAGCUCAGCACGAACAGUGCCAAUCCACGCAGGAGUGUCACGCCCGCCCGUGCAGUCCGUCGCCGUUGUCGUUCCGUGCCUUAGUGCCGCCGUGCCUUAGUAACCAGUGUCAGACAGAGAUUAGUGUCUCUCAAUGCCACGCGUUUAGCGCACUGUGAAACGGAAUAGCUCAUUCAUUCUGCAAGUGGAAACUUGUGCGAACCUCACUACACGGAGACUUGAUCUACAGGUUUGGCUCCGCUGACCCGUCUGCGGCAGCCGGGACGCCCUUCCUCGAAAUUGCAGGUGAGCGGGAGCAGGUGCGGCCCGUGCCAGCUACAGGCGGUACUGCCGGACGG
rnacentral:lncRNA from 1 species